UGCAAAGAGAUUUGUCUCAAGUCCUAAUUUGAUUUAGAUAUCUGUGAUUAAUUAUAAACAUAAAUACAAGCCAUCUGCGGUCUGCCUUAAUAAAAAAAAUAAACAUAAAAUAUUACUUUCUGGCGUAGAUAGCUUUUUUGGUGUUACAUAUUUUUAUCUAAAUAAUACAAUGACGUUGAAAUUAUCUAUUAUUGAAGGUGAUCAGAUAAUAGAGAAUGUUGUGCAAGAAACAAAUACAGAUCCUGCUGAAUUAUCUCAAGCUUUAAAUGUUUUUCGUGAAAGAAUUAACACAUUAUUCACAAAGAAACUUAUAGCAAAUAGCCAAAGUUCAUUCAUUAAUCCCAGUGACAACAGUAGUGAUGAUGAAGAUAUCAGUCUUAGUCCUAAGAAAAAAAAGACAUAAACUUAAACUUUACCAAUAUUAUAAAGUAUGGGUAUUAUAAUUAAAACAAAAGUUAUUUA